UGAGGAAUCUUCCGCAAUGGGCGCAAGCCUGACGGAGCGACACCGCGUGGAGGAUGAAGCCCUUCUUGGGCGUAAACUCCUGUUCUGAGGGACGAAAUUUUUGACGGUACCUCAGGAGAAAGUAUCGGCUAACCCUGUGCCAGCAGCCGCGGUAAGACAGGGGAUACAAGCAUUACUCGGAAUUACUGGGCGUAAAGCGUCUGUAGGUGACCAAGCAAGUCGGGGGUGAAAGUCCAAAGCUCAACUUUGUGAUUGCCCUGGAAACUGCUUGGAUUGAGCCACUGAGAGGCACCUGGAAUGCCAUGUGGAGGAGUAAAAUCCGUAGAGACAUGGUGGAACGCCAAAAGCGAAGGCAGGGUGCUAGCGGUCGGCUGACGCUGAGAGACGAAAGCGUGGGGAGCAAAGGGGAUUAGAUACCCUAGUAGUCCCUGAGCGGGCUGGCAAGGCGCAU
rnacentral:rRNA from 1 species